GAUGAACGCUGGCGGCGUGCCUAAUACAUGCAAGUCGAGCGAACAGACGAGGAGCUUGCUCCUCUGACGUUAGCGGCGGACGGGUGAGUAACACGUGGAUAACCUACCUAUAAGACUGGGAUAACUUCGGGAAACCGGAGCUAAUACCGGAUAAUAUAUUGAACCGCAUGGUUCAAUAGUGAAAGACGGUUUUGCUGUCACUUAUAGAUGGAUCCGCGCCGCAUUAGCUAGUUGGUAAGGUAACGGCUUACCAAGGCAACGAUGCGUAGCCGACCUGAGAGGAUGAUCAGCCACACUGGAACUGAGACACGGUCCAGACUCCUACGGGAGGCAGCAGUAGGGAAUCUUCCGCAAUGGGCGAAAGCCUGACGGAGCAACGCCGCGUGAGUGAUGAAGGUCUUCGGAUCGUAAAACUCUGUUAUUGGGGAAGAACAAAUGUGGAAGUAACUAUGCACGUCUUGACGGUACCUAAUCAGAAAGCCACGGCUAACUACGUG
rnacentral:rRNA from 1 species